rnacentral:rRNA from 1 species
AUUGAACGCUGGCGGCAUGCCUUACACAUGCAAGUCGAACGGUAACAGGUUAAGCUGACGAGUGGCGAACGGGUGAGUAAUGUAUCGGAACGUGCCCAGUCGUGGGGGAUAACUACUCGCAAGAGUGGCUAAUACCGCAUACGACCGGUGGGUAAAAGCGGGGGACCGUAAGGCCUCGCGCGAUUGGAGCGGCCGCUAUCAGAUUAGCUAGUUGGUGGGGUAAAAGCCCACCAAGGCGGCGAUCUGUAGCUGGUCUGAGAGGACGACCAGCCACACUGGGACUGAGACACGGCGCGGAGUCCUACGGGAGGCAGCAGUGGGGAAUUUUGGACAAUGGACGCAAGUCUGAUCCAGCCAUGCCGCGUGCGGGAAGAAGGCCUUCGGGUUGUAAACCGCUUUUGUCAGGGAAGAAACGAGUUUCUCUAAUACAGAGACUUAAUGACGGUACCUGAAGAAUAAGCACCGGCUAACUACGUGCCAGCCGCCGCAGUAACAC